GAAUUCACUAGUGAUUCAGGCCUAACACAUGCAAGUCGAGCGGUAGAGAGAAGCUUGCUUCUCUUGAGAGCGGCGGACGGGUGAGUAAUGCCUAGGAAUCUGCCUGGUAGUGGGGGAUAACGUUCGGAAACGGACGCUAAUACCGCAUACGUCCUACGGGAGAAAGCAGGGGACCUUCGGGCCUUGCGCUAUCAGAUGAGCCUAGGUCGGAUUAGCUAGUUGGUGAGGUAAUGGCUCACCAAGGCGACGAUCCGUAACUGGUCUGAGAGGAUGAUCAGUCACACUGGAACUGAGACACGGUCCAGACUCCUACGGGAGGCAGCAGUGGGGAAUAUUGGACAAUGGGCGAAAGCCUGAUCCAGCCAUGCCGCGUGUGUGAAGAAGGUCUUCGGAUUGUAAAGCAAAUUGAGUUGGGAGGAAGGGCAGUUACCUAAUACGUGA
rnacentral:rRNA from 1 species